rnacentral:rRNA from 1 species
UAACGGGAGGGGGCAAGCGUUUAUUCGGAAUCAUUGGGCGUAAAGGGCGCGUAGGCGGCUUCAUAAGUCUUGGGUGAAAUCUUGCGGCUCGAACCGCAAGGCUGCCUUCUAAACUGUCAGGCUGGAGCACGGUAGAGGCAGAUGGAAUUCCCGGUGUAGCGGUGGAAUGCGUAGAGAUCGGGAAGAACACCAGUGGCGAAGGCGGAUCUGCUGGGCCGUUGCUGACGCUGAGGCGCGACAGCGUGGGGAGCAAACAGG